CCUACGGGAGGCAGCAGUGGGGAAUAUUGGGCAAUGGGCGCAAGCCUGACCCAGCAACGCCGCGUGAAGGAAGAAGGCUUUCGGGUUGUAAACUUCUUUUCUGAGGGACGAAGAAAGUGACGGUACCUCAGGAAUAAGCCACGGCGAACUACGUGCCAGCAGCCGCGUUAAGACGUAUGUGGCAAGCGUUAUCGGGAUUUAUUGGGUUUAAAGGGCGUGUAGGCGGGAAAGCAAGUCAGAUGUGAAAACGAAGGGCUAACCCCUGUGCGUGCAGUUGAAACUGGUUUUCUUGAGUGCUGGAGAGGCAAUCGGAAUUCCGUGUGUAGCGGUGAAAUGCGUAGAUAUACGGAGGAACACCAGUGGCGAAGGCGGAUUGCUGGACAGUAACUGACGCUGAGGCGCGAAAGCGUGGGGAGCAAACAGGAUUAGAUACCCUUGUAGUC
rnacentral:rRNA from 1 species